rnacentral:rRNA from 1 species
GCGAUGUUUGAUCAUGGCUCAGGACGAACGCUGGCGGCGUGCUUAACACAUGCAAGUCGAGCGGAAAGGCCCUUCGGGGUACUCGAGCGGCGAACGGGUGAGUAACACGUGAGUAAUCUGCCUUUAGCUCUGGGAUAGCUCCGGGAAACCGGGAUUAAUACCGGAUACGACCACUACGGACAUCUGUUUUGGUGGAAAGAAUUUCGGCUAGGGAUGAGCUCGCGGCCUAUCAGCUUGUUGGUGGGGUAACGGCCUACCAAGGCGACGACGGGUAGCCGGCCUGAGAGGGCGACCGGCCACACUGGGACUGAGACACGGCCCAGACUCCUACGGGAGGCAGCAGUGGGGAAUAUUGCGCAAUGGGCGAAAGCCUGACGCAGCCAUGCCGCGUGAAUGAUGAAGGUCUUAGGAUUGUAAAAUUCUUUCACCGGGGACGAUAAUGACGGUACCCGGAGAAGAAGCCCCGGCUAACUUCGUGCCAGCAGCCGCGGUAAUA